UAGAUUGAAACCCGCUGGCUUGGGUUUUUAGUUGUUAACUAAAGGUUUACGGGAUCGAGGCCCGUCCAUCUAG
rnacentral:tRNA from 1 species